CAUUUCUCUCACUAAAUUCAUUCGUGCAUAUUAUCGAAAUAUUUGCGUUAUCGGUUUUUCGAACAGAGAGAUAUCGUUCUGUCUCUUCCAUGAGCGAGAGCAAAAGUGGCGGGCGUGCGAUCGGUCUGUGUUUCAGGUUUAGAGGCCGGCUUCAAAAAUGACUCGCGUACCUGUUAGAGGGUUUUCGAGCGGACGACAAACACGCGGCUACACUCGGCCGCCGUGAUUUUCAAACUGUUAACAGCCGGUCGUCGAAUAGCUUCGAUACGAACGCCAACAGAUUAAUGCUAAUUUACUUGAUAUUUACGCUUCUCCUCGACACUGUGACUGGGCAACAUAUUUCCAUUGUUUUACUACAGUAUGUCAAUAUUGAAUAGUGCACGACGAUAGACUAUCGGGAUAUUUACUAUGGCGUUGCCUACGCGAAUACUUCAAAACCCCUAAGGAAAUCAAGCGCCACCAGAGGCACAACAAGAUAUUAUAACGAAGGUGUGUCAACAUUCGGAUCGGAAUUCGGUGCAUAAUUCAAUAAAAGGAAAUAGUGAAUAAGACUGAAAAAGAGAAAAAGAAAGAUGGGAUAUAACAUGUAGAGAGAAAGGAACAUGAUGUUAAAUUUAUGUACGAAAAAUAAAAUGAAAUAUAGAUAUAAGAAUCUCCA